rnacentral:snRNA from 1 species
GUGCUUGUUUCGGCAGCACAUAGACUAAAAUUGGAACGAUACAGAGAAGAUUACUGUGGCCCCUGCACAAGGAUGACACCCAAAUUCAUGAAGCAUUCCAUAUUAAA